rnacentral:rRNA from 1 species
CCUACGGGUGGCAGCAGUGAGGAAUAUUGGUCAAUGGACGAGAGUCUGAACCAGCCAAGUAGCGUGAAGGAGGACUGCCCUAUGGGUGGUAAACUUCUUUUAUAUGGGAAUAAAAUGUUCAACGUGUGGAAUUUUGUAUGUACCAUAUGAAUAAGGAUCGGCUAACUCCGUGCCAGCAGCCGCGGUAAUACGGAGGAUCCGAGCGUUAUCCGGAUUUAUUGGGUUUAAAGGGAGCGUAGGUGGAUUGUUAAGUCAGUUGUGAAAGUUUGCGGCUCAACCCUAAAAUUGCAGUUGAAACUGGCAGUCUUGAGUACAGUAGAGGUGUGCGGAAUUCGUGGUGUAGCGGUGAAAUGCUUAGAUAUCACGAAGAACUCCGAUUGCGAAGGCAGCUCCCUGGACUGCAACUGACGCUGAGGCUCGAAAGUGUGGGUAUCAAACAGGAUUAGAUACCCGGGUAGUC